UGUUAUCUGAGCUGGAGGCUAUCACUCAGGGAGAAGAUGUAGAACUUCCAGAGGUCCCCACUGAGCCUCUACCAGAGGUCCCAGAACCAGCUGAGACAGAGCCAGAGAGAAGACCAGCAAGGAACAAGGAGAACAGAGAGAUGCUGGCAGCGUAGAGACAAGACUCAACAAUAACAACAGUAGCUGUGGAUGGAGUUAGUCCAACUGACUCAAUAACAACAGUAGCUGUGGAUGGAGUUAGUCCAACUGACUCAAUAACAGUAGCAGCUGUGGAUGGAGUUAGUCCAACUGACUCAAUAACAGUAGCAGCUGUGGAUGGAGCUAGUCCAACUGAC